UACGUAGGGUGCAAGCGUUAAUCGGAAUUACUGGGCGUAAAGCGUGCGCAGGCGGUUCUAUAAGACAGAUGUGAAAUCCCCGGGCUCAACCUGGGAACUGCAUUUGUGACUGCAAGGCUAGAGUACGGCAGAGGGGGAUGGAAUUCCGCGUGUAGCAGUGAAAUGCGUAGAUAUGCGGAGGAACACCAAUGGCGAAGGCAAUCCCCUGGGCCUGUACUGACGCUCAUGCACGAAAGCGUGGGGAGCAAACAGG
rnacentral:rRNA from 1 species